rnacentral:tRNA from 1 species
ACCUUCGUGGUGUAAUGGUUAGCACACUCGGUGCGUAUUUCGAGAGUUCCAGGUUCGAGUCCCGGUGAAGGCA